CCCCCCAAAAACCAAAGUGUGACGGGGUUACCCAAAGUGUUCAUUAUUGGACUGUGGUAGGCGAGUAAUGUCCCCUACUAGAAAGGAGAGGGCAAGGCUGGUGCCAGCCGCCGCGGUAAAACCAGCUCUUCAAGUGGUCGGGAUAAUUAUUGGGCUUAAAGCGUCCGUAGCCGGUUUAGUAAGUUCCUGGUAAAAUCGGGUAGCUUAACUAUCCGUAUGCUAGGAAUACUGCUAUACUAGAGGGCGGGAGAGGUCUGAGGUACUACAGGGGUAGGGGUGAAAUCUUAUAAUCCUUGUAGGACCACCAGUGGCGAAGGCGUCAGACUGGAACGCGCCUGACGGUGAGGGACGAAAGCCAGGGGAGCGAACCGGAUUAGAUACCCGGGUAGUCCUGGCCGUAAACGAUGCAUACUAGGUAAUGGUACGGCCAUGAGCCGUAUCAGUGCCGUAGGGAAACCGUUAAGUGUGCCGCCUGGGAAGUACGGUCGCAAGGCUAAAACUUAAAGGAAUUGGCGGGGGA
rnacentral:rRNA from 1 species